AGAAGACUAAAAAUUCAACAGCAACAGAACAGUGACAUUUGGUUCAUUAUUGUGAGUACUGAAAUAUGCAGCACAAUUUACCAAUUUCAAGUAUAACCAAUUCCUACUUGAAAAAAAUUCCACAAAAAGGAGAACAAUAUUUUUAAGGAAUAAUCAAAACCUGACAUUUAAGACUUUAAUGACACAAUGGUAAAUUAUCUCAAAAGUCCACACAAACAGUAAGGUCCAUGUUAAGAAUUACAUUGCAAGCAGUCCCAAAACACCAAUCCUUCAUGAUCAAGUAAACGUUACAUGCUCUAUAAUUAAAUUGCACACAUUCAAAAGCCAAGCGCUAAUACUAAGGUAAGCACAUAUCAUAUAACUAAUGUAUUAGAAAUUAAGUGGAGUAUUUUAGCAGAUCUCAAACAAAAGCUUGAUUGUGAACUAAAAGAAAAAAUAUUUUUUAAUUUUAUCCAUAAAUUUACAAUACAUACAGAAAACUGAUAGCUAAAAUAUGAAUUAGAGCCUGUCCUCUCACCCUCCUUCCUUUUUUUUAAAGCUUGGGAAUUCAUUUCUCUUGAAGUUCAACAAAACCCGGUAAAAGAAUCGAAGGCUGAAGAGGAACCAUUACAUUAAUUCAACCAUCAGCUUCACACAGAUAAAAAAAAAAUGUAUUACGCAUCAAUGAUAGAAAAAUUCUCUCUUAACACCGUCAAAUUUGACUUUUUCUUUCUCAAGUUUCUACAUAUUCCUAGUUAGAAAAUUCUUAAAGCUUCAAAAAUACACAGCAAAACAUAAACGAAUUACAACAAUAACAAUAAAUAAUAAUACUCACU
rnacentral:misc_RNA from 1 species